rnacentral:rRNA from 1 species
CCUACGGGUGGCAGCAGUGAGGAAUAUUGGUCAAUGGACGCAAGUCUGAACCAACCAUGCCGCGUGCAGGAAGACGGCUCUAUGAGUUGUAAACUGCUUUUGUACGAGGGUAAAUCCCGAUACGUGUAUCUGGUUGAAAGUAUCGUACGAAUAAGGAUCGGCUAACUCCGUGCCAGCAGCCGCGGUACUACGGAGGAUUCAAGCGUUCUCCGGAUUUAUUGGGUUUAAGGGGUGCGUAGGCGGUUCGAUAAGUUAGAGUUGAAAUCCCGGGGCUCAACUCCGGCACUGCCUCUGAUACUGUCGGGCUAGAGUUUAGUUGCGGUAGGCGGAAUGUAUGGUGUAGCGGUGAAAUGCAUAGAGAUCAUACAGAACACCGAUUGCGAAGGCAGCUUACCAAACUACGACUGACGUUGAGGCACGAAAGCGUGGGGAGCAAACAGGAUUAGAUACCCCUGUAGUC